UGUAGUCUCAACGAUGAUGCAUACAUGUUCACUAUGGGUGUUGGGUCCAACAAUUCGCAUUGGUCUCAAACCAAUGACAUCCAUUUCGAAGACCAUGAGUUUGAGGUGGACGAGGAGGGUGAGGGAAUUGUCGAGGCGCCGAAAGAAAGAGCGGGCAAUUACUCAACCAACGAUGACAAGUUACUAUGCCAUACUUAUUUGCAAGUAUCGAGGGAUCCAUCCAUUGGAGGUGAUCAAAGUAGAGACGCGUAUUGGGGGCGAAUGAAAGAACACUUUGAUGCUCACAACUUGAGUGGAAUUGACCACUCCGAGAGAUCACUUCAGUCCCGAUGGUCGACAAUCAACUCGGAUUGUCAAAAGUGGGCGGCCGUACAAAAGGCAGUUGACAAGAUUAACCCAAGUGGCACAAAUGAGGAUGAUCGAGUAAGUGGCAUCUCAUAUAUAUUCAUCAUACUUGUUUUUGGUGACCGAAGUGCUAACUUGUUUUGUUUUUCUUGUAGAACAACAUUGCACAAAACUUGUUCAAAGAAGAGACAAGGACAACCAAGAAGGGGAAGAUCAAGAAAGGCAGGGUCUUUACCUUGCCUCAUUGCUAUGAAGUGUUAA
rnacentral:rRNA from 1 species